CAGUCGCCGCGGUAAUACGUAGGGUGCAGGCGUUAAUCGGAAUUACUGGGCGUAAAGCGUGCGCAGGCGGUUCGUUAAGACAGAUGUGAAAUCCCCGGGCUUAACCUGGGAACUGCAUUUGUGACUGGCGGGCUAGAGUAUGGCAGAGGGGGGUAGAAUUCCACGUGUAGCAGUGAAAUGCGUAGGGAUGUGGAGGAAUACCGAUGGCGAAAGCACUCUGCUGGGCCGACACUGACACUGAGAGACGAAAGCUAGGGGAGCAAAUGGAAUUAGAUACCCCAGUAGUCCCUGUCUCUUAUAC
rnacentral:rRNA from 1 species